GCACGAGACUCUCACAAGUCAGAAGGCUCUAUGUUCAAAUUGCUGCUCUGCCAUUUAUUGUGUGACUUAGUUUCCCUGCAGUGAUCUCGAUAGCUGACAUAGCAUUCUGAUGUUUAUAUACAUCGAUUCUUACAACAACCUCUAUUUUACAGAUGAGGAAACUAUAACUAAGAGAGAUGAGGUAACUUGACUAGGAUUAAGUAUCUAAUGAAGUUAGGUCUCUCUUGAAUUAAAGUCCAGGACACUGAACUAUUUCAUUCUCUUGAGGACCACCAUGUAGGAACCAAAAAAGUGACUUAGGGUGGUGGAAAGUACCCUGACCAGGUUCAGAUCUUGCCUCUGCUGCUUAUUAUUUGUGUGACCUUCAGCAAAGCUUUCCCCCUUGCUGAGCCUGUUUCUUCCUGUGUAAGACAAGGGACCAGACCAUCUAUGAUGAUCCUUCCAGCUACUAAAUCUUCAAGUCUACACUUUCUUUCCCUGGCAUUCUUUGUUCAAGCUAGUUUCCUUCCCCCUGCUGUCCUGAUCCUUCCUCUCCCUUUGCAGGACCACAAGGAUGCACAGCACAUGACACAAAUACAUACAGGAGUUGCACUUAGUCUUGGAACAUGACCCUGCCAACAGUAUUUCUUACUGAGCUCAACAUCAAGCCAAGUCACCAGGAUGGGUUGCCAUUUGAAGAUUCCUGUUCCAAAGAUCACCUGUGAGAGAGAAGAUCACCUUUGAGUGGUACUGACACUUCCAGGCCAAUUAACUGCCCAGAUAAACACAAAAAUGUACACCUGAGUCAGUAUGGCACCAAAGCUGGGGUGAGGAGGUGUUCCCUGAGUUCAGGAGGUGGUGAUGGGUAGCUCAUUGAGUUUCCACUCUAGAGUCACUAGCCAUACCAAGAAAAGAUUAGCCUCUCU
rnacentral:lncRNA from 1 species